rnacentral:tRNA from 1 species
GCCGACGUGUUGGAAUGGUAGACGAGACGGACUCAAAAUCCGUUGCAGGCGACUGUGUGUGGGUUCAAGUCCCACUGUCGGCACCA